rnacentral:misc_RNA from 1 species
GUAGGUGAACCUGCGGAAGGAUCAUUAAUGCAAGAUAGCAGUUCAUUCGAAAGACUUGAACUCUAUCGAGAUAUACCUCACCAAAACGCUCGACCUUUUGUCUUUUUGACUCAAGGCUCGACGUCACAAGCAACUUGAGACUUUUUUCCCUGUUAGUCUUUUCCUCGCGGAAAAAACGAGAGGGCGAAAUGUUCUCUACCAUUUUUACACCAUAAUUACCCUACUUGAAACUUUUAGACUGAUAUGAAAA